AGCUCAGUGGCAGAGCUCUUGCUUGGCAUGCAUGAGUCCCUGGGUUCAAUCCCUAG
rnacentral:tRNA from 1 species